rnacentral:tRNA from 1 species
GGGGGUAUAGCUCAGUUGGUAGAGCGCUUGAAUGGCAUUCAAGAGGUCAGGGGUUCGAUUCCCCUUACCUCCACCA